UUUACUCCAAAUCAAACGACAUCAAAUCUCACCAAAGCAAUCGAUAAGUCGGUUUCAACGACGGCCUCCGGCACCGGUCAUCGUUUUGUGAAUUUUCUUAAAACAAAAGUAACUAAAAUUCAGUCAUUUUUUGUUAUCUCAAAACUGUGAUAAGCUCACUGCCAUAGUCAGCGGCGGUGCUCUUUACUUCUACGAACCUCAAUUUCCAUGGUCACUAUCUUCCCUAACCUCAUCAACACUCAAACGAGAGAAGAGAUUUCUUCUUCUUUCACUUUCAGUUUCUCUGUUUAUUCUGAUUAAAUCUGUUUCUAUGGUCUACCACUUUGAACCUUAACCGAUUGCGAAGGGAGGGAACAAGAGCCGAUGGAGUCAUCGUCUCAGGCGGAGUCGAUGAUCCUUCUAGAAGACUUCGGUCAAAAGGUUGACCUUACUAGGCGAAUCCGAGAGGUUCUGGUUAACUAUCCGGAAGGGACGACGGUGCUCAAGGAGCUAAUUCAGAACGCGGAUGAUGCCGGAGCUACGAAGGUCUGUCUUUGUCUGGAUCGUAGGGUCCAUGGCUCGGGCUCAUUGCUUUCUCAGAGUUUGUCUCAGUGGCAGGGGCCUUCGCUUUUGGCUUACAACGAUGCUGUUUUUACUGAGGAUGAUUUCGUUAGCAUUUCGAGGAUCGGUGGGAGUACUAAACACAGCCAGGCUUGGAAGACUGGCCGAUUCGGGGUUGGCUUCAACUCAGUGUACCAUUUAACAGAUUUGCCAUCAUUUGUGAGUGGGAACUAUGUUGUAUUAUUCGAUCCUCAGGGAAUUUAUCUUCCUAACGUGUCUGCAUCCAAUCCUGGCAAACGAAUUGAUUUUGUUAAUUCUUCAGCCAUCUCAGUGUACAGAGACCAAUUUUUUCCAUAUUGUGCUUUUGGAUGUGACAUGACAAGUCCUUUUCCGGGAACUUUAUUCCGUUUCCCACUAAGAAAUGCAGAUCAGGCUGUCGGAAGUAAGCUAUCAAGGCAGGCAUAUCUGGAGGAUGACAUUUCUUCCAUGUUUCUUCAGCUUUACGAGGAAGGAGUAUUUGCAUUACUUUUUCUAAAGAGUGUAUUAUCUGUUGAAAUGUAUGUAUGGGAUGCCAAUGAACCUCAUCCUAGAAAGCUUUACUCAUGUUGUGUUACUCCAGCGAAUCAUGAUAUUGUUUGGCAUCGACAAACAGUAUUGAGGUUGUCAAAGUCAAUCAAUUCUACAGAUACUGAAAUGGACUGCUAUUCAUUGAACUUUGUGAGGGAAGCAGCAACUGGGAACCUUACUGAGAAGAAGGUGGAUUCUUUUUAUAUUGUACAAACCAUGGCAUCAGCAACCAGUAGGAUUGGCUCUUUUGCUGCCACUGCUUCUAAAGAAUAUGAUAUUCACUUGCUGCCAUGGGCAUCAGUUGCAGCAUGCACGUCUGAUAGUUCAUCGCAGGAUGAUGACAGUCUCAGGAUUGGUCGAGCUUUCUGUUUUCUUCCUUUGCCUGUAAGAACUGGUUUGUCUGUGCAAGUUAAUGGAUACUUUGAGGUGGCAUCAAAUCGUCGUGGCAUCUGGUAUGGAGAAGACAUGGACAGAGGUGGAAAAAUUCGUUCGGUCUGGAACAGGCUGCUUUUAGAAGAUGUUGUAGCUCCAAGUUUUAGACAACUACUGCUUGGUGUACAAGGAUUGCUAGAUUCCAAACAAAUGUACUAUUCUUUGUGGCCUUCUGGUUCUUUUGAAGAGCCAUGGAACAUAUUGGUUGAGAAGGUGUACGCAAAUAUUUCUGAUGCUCCUGUACUGUAUUCAGAUAUUGGGGGUGGGAGAUGGGUUUCACCAAUUGAUGCUUUUCUACAUGAUGAAGAAUUUUCAAAAAGUAAAGAACUUGGUGAUGCUCUGAUGCAACUAGGAAUGCCCAUUGUGCGUUUGCCCACCUCUUUAUUUAACAUGCUUUUGAAAUGUGCCACUACGUUUCAGCAGAAGGUUGUCACUCCUCAUACAGUGCGUCAUUUUCUCAGAGAAUGCAAAUCUCUGUCAACUUUGAGUAAAUCUUACAAGCUUGUGUUGCUGGAAUAUUGUCUUGAAGACUUGGUUGACAUAGAUGUUGGUAGACAUGCUUCUAACUUGCCUUUGCUUCCAUUGGCAAAUGGUGAUUUUGGAUUAUUCUCUGAAGCGUCAAAAGGAUUUUCCUAUUUUAUAUGCAAUGAAUUAGAAUACGUGUUGCUUCAACCAAUACAUGAUCGAGUCAUUGACCGGAAUCUUCCUCAUAAUUUGAUGAGUAGACUUUCAGCUAUUGCAAAGUCAUUGAAGGCAAACCUUUGUAUUUUCAAUGUCCAUUACAUGCUUCACUUUUUCCCAAGGUUUAUGCCUGCUGAAUGGAAAUAUAAGAACAAAGUCUCUUGGGAUGCACAGACUUGUGAACAUCCGACUUCUGCAUGGGUAGUGCUAUUUUGGCAGUAUCUCAAAAACCAUUGUGAAGAGUUAUCGUUGUUCAGCGAUUGGCCCAUCUUACCAUCCAUAUCUGGGCAUCUUUAUAGAACUUCUAAACAAUCAAAAAUGAUUAAUGCAGAAAAGCUAAUGAAGAAGAUGCGAGACAUACUCAUUAAAAUCGGAUGCAAGAUACUAAGUCCUGAUUAUGGAAUUGAUCACUCGGAUUUAUCUGAUUAUGUAAAUGAUUGUAAUGGUGUAUGUAUUUUGGAAUCCAUUUAUGAUGUCGUUACCUCAGGUGGUGGUGUAAUACCAACAUUUUUUAACAAUUUCGAUGCAGAAGAGAGGGACGAACUUCGAGGUUUUCUUCUUGAUUCAAAGUGGUAUUUUAGCGACUCUAUGAACGUGUCUGACAUAAGGAAUUGCAAAAGGCUGCCUAUUUUUAAAGUUCACGCUGUGGGUUCUACACCCCAGUUUAACUUUUCUGACCUUGAAAGUUCACAAAAAUACUUGCCUCCAACAGAUAUACCUGAGCACUUUUUGGGAGAUGACUUUAUUAUCAGCACUUCAAGUAGUGAAGAAGAGAUUUUUGUAAGAUAUUUUGGCAUUGAGAGAAUGGGGAAGGCGCAUUUCUACAAGAAAUAUGUGUUAAAUAGAAUUUUAGAGCUGGAGUCUGAAGUUCGUGACAAUGUUAUUCUUUCUAUAUUGCAAAAUCUACCACAAUUGUGCAUCGAGGAUGUAUCUUUCAGAGAUUAUUUGAGAAGCUUGGAAUUUGUCCCAACCCAUAGUGGCACUGUUAAGCGUCCAGAUAUGUUGUAUGAUCCACGUAAUGAAGAAUUAUUUGCAUUGUUGGAAGAUUCUGAUAGUUUCCCUUAUGGUAUUUUCCAAGAGUCUCACAUUUUGGACAUGCUACAAGGUUUAGGCCUUAGAACAUCAGUUUCCCAUGAGACAAUUAUUCAUAGUGCCCGACAAGUAGAACACUUAAUGCACAAGGAUCAACAACAGGCAUAUUCAAGAGGCAAGGUUCUUUUGUCCUACUUAGAAGUGAAUGCAAUAAAGUGGAUACCUGAUACAAUGGAUGGUGAACAAGGUAAAGUGAAUAAAAUGUUUUCCCGAGCUGCUUAUAUAUUCAAGCCUUCCAACUUAAAGUCCAACCUUGAAAAGUUUUGGAAUGAUCUACGGUUGAUAAGCUGGUGUCCUGUAUUAGUUCAUGCUCCAUUUCAAGCUUUACCAUGGCCUGUAGUUUCAUCCAUGGUUGCUCCUCCAAAGCUUGUUAGGCUACAGACUGAUUUGUGGCUUACUUCAGCAAGUAUGCGUAUACUAGAUGGAGAAUGCUCAUCAACUGCAUUAUCAUAUUGCUUGGGAUGGUCGAUUCCACCAGGUGGAAGUGUAAUUGCUGCUCAAUUACUUGAGCUUGGAAAAAAUAAUGAGAUUGUUAAUGAUCAGGUAUUGCGGCAGGAAUUAGCUUUGGCAAUGCCAAGGAUUUAUGCUAUACUAACAAACUUGAUCGGCUCAGAUGAGAUGGAGAUUGUUAAGGCAGUACUUGAAGGUUGUCGAUGGAUUUGGGUUGGUGAUGGAUUUGCAACCGCUGAUGAGGUUGUCCUGGAUGGUCCCCUGCACUUGGCUCCUUAUAUUCGUGUUAUACCGAUUGAUUUAGCAGUUUUCAAGGAAUUAUUUUCUGAACUUGGCAUUCGACAAUCCUUGAAAUCCAUAGAUUUUGGUGAUAUUUUGUGUAGAAUGUAUGUGAAGAAAGAUUCAUCUCCUCUUGAUGCACAUGAACUUAGGGCAGCCAUAUUAAUUGUACAACAUCUUGCUGAAGUUCCGUUGCAUGAACAGAAAGUGAAGAUCUAUUUACCAGAUGUAUCAUGCAGACUAUUUCUUGCUGGUGACUUGGUUUACAAUGAUGCACCAUGGUUGCUUGGUUCAGAGGAUCCGGAUAACCUUUUUAAUGUUAAAUCUACAGUGGCCUUGACUGCACAGAAAACCAUUCAGAAAUUUGUGCAUGGAAACAUAUCUAAUGAUGUUGCAGAAAAACUUGGCGUGUGCUCUCUUCGCAGGAUCUUAUUAGCUGAGAGUGCUGAUUCAAUGAAUUUGAGUUUAUCUGGGGCUGCUGAAGCUUUUGGUCAGCAUGAAGCCCUGACAACUAGACUUAAACACAUUCUUGAAAUGUAUGCAGAUGGCCCUGGGAUUCUGUAUGAGCUUGUGCAAAAUGCGGAGGAUGCAGGAGCUUCUGAAGUAAGCUUUCUUUUGGAUAAAACUCAAUAUGGGACUUCUUCUAUUCUUUCUCCUGAAAUGGCAGAUUGGCAAGGCCCUGCAUUGUACUGUUUCAACAAUUCUGUAUUCACUCCUCAAGACCUUUAUGCAAUCUCACGUAUUGGCCAAGAAAGUAAACUAGAGAAGCCUUUUGCAAUUGGAAGAUUUGGUCUAGGUUUUAAUUGUGUCUAUCAUUUUACAGACAUUCCCACGUUUGUUUCUGGUGAAAACAUUGUAAUGUUUGAUCCUCAUGCUUGUCAUUUGCCUGGAAUAUCUCCAUCUCACCCUGGUCUACGUAUUAAAUUUGCGGGAAGAAAGAUUUUGGAACAAUUUCCUGACCAAUUCUCUCCAUUCUUACACUUUGGCUGUGACUUGCAACAUCCAUUUCCCGGAACCCUCUUUCGAUUUCCCCUCAGGAGUGCUAAUGCUGCUGCUAGAAGCCAAAUAAAGAAAGAAGGAUAUGCACCCGAAGAUGUUGUUUCAUUGUUUGCUUCUUUCUCUCAAGUUGUUUCUGAUGCCUUACUUUUUCUACAAAAUGUGAAAACUGUAUCUGUUUUUGUCAAGGAAGGCAGCGGACAUGAAAUGCAACUUUUACAUCGUGUGCAGAAAGAUUGCAUUAGAGAGUCUCAAAUGGAAUCAAAUUCACCACAUGGUAUGUUUAGCUUUCUUGAUGGGACUCACCGCAGUGGAAUAGAUAAAGAUCAAAUCUUACAAAAGUUAAACAAAGUCACUGAUAAAGAUUUGCCAUACAGAUGUCAAAAGAUUAUAAUAAAGGAGGAAGGGUCUUGUGGUAAUUUAUCACACUGUUGGGUAACCUCUGAAUGUCUAGGUAGAGGCCCAACAAAGAAUAAAUCUACACACUCAAAUGACAGAUCAAAUGCUUUUAUCCCAUGGGCGUCAGUUGCUGCAUAUUUACACUCUGUCAAUGUUGAUAGUGGACAUAUGAGUAAUAACGAUUUGUUUCAAGUUCCGACGGAUUCCAUUCAAGAUAGGAAAGAUUUUCAAGGUCGUGCUUUCUGCUUUCUGCCGUUGCCAAUGAAUACUGGUCUUCCAGCUCAUGUUAAUGCAUAUUUUGAAUUGUCGUCAAAUAGAAGAGACAUCUGGUUUGGUAAUGAUAUGGCUGGGGGUGGUAAAAAGCGCUCAGACUGGAAUCUCUACUUGCUUGAAGAUGUUGUAGCCCCAGCUUAUGGUCGUAUGCUAGAGAAAAUUGCAUUGGAUAUUGGUCCAUCUGAUUUGUUCUUUUCAUUUUGGCCUAAAACAAUAGGAUUACAACCUUGGGCAUCAGUUGUACGAAAGCUCUAUGUAUUCAUUGCAGAUUUAAGUUUGCGGGUAUUGUACACAGAGGCUAGAGGGGGCCAAUGGAUUUCAACCAAACAUGCUAUAUUUCCAGAUUUUAUGUUUAACAAAGCACAAGAGCUCACUGAAGUACUAUCAGACACUGGUUUACCCCUUGUUAAUGUUUUAAAGCCAAUUGUUGAAAUAUUUAUGGAGGUGUGCCCAUCAUUGCAUUUCUUAACACCUCAAUUAUUGCGUACUUUGCUGAUUCGAAAGCGACGUGAAUUCAAGGACAGAAAUGCUAUGAUCUUGACUCUUGAAUAUUGCUUGUUUGACUUAAAGGUGCCAAUUCAAACUACUUGUUUGUAUGGCUUGCCUUUGCUUCCCCUUUCUGAUGGUUCAUUUACAAUAUUUGAAAAGAAUGGGUUUGGUGAAAGAAUAUACAUUGCACAGGGAGAAGAGUAUGGUCUCCUCAAGGUUUCAAUUCCAAAUCAACUUGUGGACAAUGAGAUCCCAGAAGAAGUUUAUGGGAAACUUUGCGACAUAGCUCGAAGAGAGGAUUCAAAUAUCUCAUUUUUAUCUUACCAUUUACUCGAGAAACUCCUCCUGAAAUUACUACCAGCAGAGUGGCAACAUGCAAAACAGGUGACUUGGAUUCCUGGUGCUCAAGGUCAACCGAGUUUGGAAUGGUUAAGACUUCUAUGGGACUAUCUCAAGUCUUCACAUGCUGAUCUGUCACUUUUUUCUAAGUGGCCCUUAUUGCCUGUUGGGAACAAUUGUCUCUUGCAACUUGUUGAAAAUUCACAUGUGAUUAGAGAUGAUGCAUGGAGUGAGAACAUGGCUUCUUUAUUGCUGAAGAUAGGAUGCCUUUUCUUAAGGUCUGACCUCCCAAUAGACCAUCCACAAUUGGAAAAUUUUGUUCAGCCACCUACAAUGACUGGUAUAUUAAAUGCAGUUUUUGCUAUUGCUGGUAAAUUAGAGAACAUUGAGGAGCUUUUCCGUGAUGCAUCUGAAGCUGAGCUCCAUGAAUUUCGAAGUUUCAUUCUCCAGUCCAAGUGGUUUUUGGAAGGGCAAGUGGCAAAACUACAUGUUGACAUCAUCAAACACCUACCGAUAUUUGAAUCCUAUAAAAGUAGAAAACUAGUAAGUUUGAGCAAUCCUAUUAAGUGGCUUAAACCUUAUGGUGUUCGAGAGGAUCUUUUAGAUGAUGACUUUGUUCGCACAGACUCUGAGAAAGAAAAUAUUAUUUUGAGAAAGUAUUUAGAGAUAGAAGAACCUACCAAGGUGGAAUUUUACAAGAAUCAUGUGCUCAGUUGCAUGUCAAAAUUCUUCUUGCAAAGUGAAGUCAUUUCAGUUAUUUUGCAUGAGCUGAAGCUUCUAGUCGAAGAGGAUAUUUCUGUUAAAUCUUCAUUUUCUACGGUAGCUUUUGUUUUGGCAGCUGAUGGGUCUUGGCAGCAGCCAUCCAGGCUAUAUGAUCCACGAAUACCUGAGCUGCAAACGGUACUACACAAUAAAGUCUAUUUCCCCUCUGAAAUAUUUUCGGACAACGUAACUUUGGACACUUUAGUUAUCUUUGGACUUAGAAGAACUCUUGGCUUUACUGGUUUACUUGACUGUGCCAGAUCAGUUUCUCUGUUCCAGGAUUCUAGACAAUCUGAAACAUCAAAUUAUGGGAGGAAUUUACUUGUUUGUAUGGAUGCCCUGUCACUCAAGCUGUCGAAUCAGAAAGAAGGAAAUUUUAAUGAAUCACAUGAUACCAACUUAAAUAAUAAUUUUACUGCUGAAGUUGAUGAUAUUGCACUUGUUACAUCUCCCAAGAGAGAGAAGAACAAUCUGAUAGAUAAUCUAAACAUUGACUUGUUAAUUGGCGACACUGAUGAUAAACCAGAAGAAGAAUUUUGGUCUGAAAUGAGAGAAAUUGCUUGGUGUCCCGUUUGUGCUGAUCCACCUAUAGAAGGGCUCCCAUGGCUAAAAUCUACUUGUCAAAUAGCACCACCAACCAUAGUGAGACCUAAGUCACAGAUGUGGAUGGUGUCCUAUUCAAUGCAUAUAUUAGAUGGUGAAUGCCAAUCAUCGUACCUACAACUUAGGCUUGGCUGGACGGAUCAGAUCAACAUAGAUGUUUUAUUUACUCAGUUGAUCGAGCUCUCUACAUUCUAUGGCCAACUCAAGCUAACCUCAAUUCCACGAGCUGUUGUUGAUGCUGAAUUACAAAAGGGAAUUCCAUCUUUAUAUAUGAAGAUGCAGGAAUAUGUUGGUACCAUUGAGUUCAAUGAGCGUAAAUAUGCUCUAGAAGGUGUUUGUUGGGUUUGGAUUGGGGAUGAUUUUGUAAGCUCAGAUGCACUUGCGUUUGAUUCUCCUGUGAAAUUCUCUCCAUAUUUGUAUGUUGUUCCAUCCGAACUAUCAGAUUUUAGAAAUCUACUCUUGGAAUUGGGUGUUGGGCUUAGUUUUGAUGUUCCAGACUAUCUGCGUGUAUUGCAACGGUUACAAAGUGAUGUGAAAGGUUUUCCACUGUCAGCAGAUCAGUUAAGUUUUGUCCAUUGCAUCCUUGAUGCUGUAGCAGAUUGUUGUUUAGAUCAGAAAUUGUCUGAGAUUUCUAGCACUCCACUCCUAAUUCCUGAUUUUUCUGGAGUUUUAAUGAAUAUGUCAAAUCUGGUGUAUAAUGAUGCUCCAUGGAUGGAAAACAAUACUCCAAUUGGAAAGCGUUUUGUUCAUCCAAGUGUUAGUAAUGAUUUGGCAAGUAGGUUGGGGGUACAAUCGCUCCGAUGUGUCUCUUUAGUAGAUGAAGAAAUGACUAAAGACCUUCCUUGCAUGGACUAUGCUAGAAUCAAUGAGCUGUUGGCUUUGUAUGGGGACAAUGAUCUUUUAUUUUUUGAUCUGCUUGAGUUGGCAGAUAGUUGCAAAGCCAAGAAGCUACACCUAAUCUUUGACAAGAGGGAACAUCCUCGCCAGUCUUUACUGCAACACAAUUUAGGUGAUUUUCAAGGGCCUGCUUUAGUAGCUGUUUUGGAAGGCACUGUUUUGAGCAGAGAGGAAGUUAGUAGUCUCCAAUUUCUACCUCCCUGGAGAUUACGAGGGAAUACUCUUAACUAUGGUUUGGGUUUACUUAGCUCCUAUUUUGUCUGUGAUCUUCUGUCAAUGGUUUCCGGUGGCUAUUUUUACAUAUUUGAUCCUCGUGGUUCAGCAUUUUCUGUUCCUCCAUCUCGUUCUCCGGCUGCCAAAGUGUUUUCCUUGACAGGUACAAACUUGGUUGAGCGGUUUCAUGAUCAAUUCAGUCCUAUGCUUCUUGAUCAAAAUACACUAUGGUCAUCAUCAGAUUCAACGAUUAUCCGCAUGCCCCUUUCAUCAGACUGUCUUAAAGAUGGACUUGAGCUUGGACUAAGAAGAAUAAAACAGAUAAAUGACAGAUUUUUGGAGCAAGGGUCUAGAACACUUUUAUUCUUGAAGUCAGUUAUGCAGGUUUCACUCUUGACAUGGGAGGAAGAAGGUCACAUGCCAUGUGAAGAUUUUUCAAUUUGCAUUGAUCCUUCAUCUGCUAUCAUGAGAAAUCCUUUUUCUGAAAAAAAGUGGAGGAAGUUCCAAAUUUCUAGGCUAUUUAGUAGCUCAAAUGCCGCAAUAAAAUUGAAUGUACUAGAUGUGACCACUAAACAAGGAGACACCAGUUUUAUUGAUCAAUGGCUUGUUGUGCUCACCCUAGGUUCUGGGCAAACAAGAAACAUGGCUCUUGAUAGGCGGUAUCUGGCAUACAACUUGGCACCUAUUGGUGGAGUUGCAGCUCAUAUAUCUCGGAAUGGCAAUCCUGUUGAUUUUUGUGUGAUGAGUUCUCUGAUGUCUCCUCUUUCUCUAUCUGGUGGCAUAAAGUUACCUGUCACUAUACUAGGAUGUUUCUUGGUUUGUCAUAAUGGCGGUCGUCAUCUCUUCAAAUACCAGGAUCGGGAAGCCUCCGCUGAAGCAUGGACUGAUGCUGGUAAUCAGUUAAUUGAAGCUUGGAACACAGAGCUUAUGUCUUGUGUCCGUGAUUCAUAUGUUGAGUUAAUAUUAGAGAUCCUGAGGUUAAGACGAGAUCAUUCCAGUUCUGCAAUUGAGUCAACAGGACGAACAUUCAGUCUAUUGUUGAAAGCUUAUGGGGAUCAGAUUUAUAACUUUUGGCCAAGGAGUUACAGCCAUGAUUUGAUUAGUCAACCUGCUGAUGGUAAUAAUUUAAUUCCACCACAAAUUCUUAAAGCAGAUUGGGAUUGUAUAAUUGAGCAGGUAAUAAAGCCUUUCUAUGCUCGUGCUGUUGACCUUCCCCUAUGGCAACUAUACUCGGGAAAUUUAGUCAAGGCUGAAGAAGGUAUGUUUCUUUCACAACCUGGUAAUGGGGUAGGCGGUAAUCUUCUUCCAGCAACUGUUUGUGGCUUUGUAAAGGAGCAUUACCCGGUAUUUUCAGUACCAUGGGAGUUGGUGACAGAAAUCCAAGCAGUGGGGACUCCUAUACGAGAAGUGAAACCUAAAAUGGUCCGAGAUCUUCUAAGAGUUUCUAAAACAUCUAUUGUUCUACGAUCAGUUGAUACAUAUCUAGAUGUUCUUGAGUACUGUUUGUCUGACAUUCAAAUUGGGGAAGCAUCCAUUUCAAAUGGAAAUUCUUCAUUUUACAGAGCGGAUCAUGUUGUUGGGAGUACUUCUGCUUCUGUUACAGGCACCAAUAAUCCUAAUCAUCCGUCCACCCAUAAUGCAAACAGUCCAGGAGAUGCCAUUGAAAUGGUGACAAGUUUGGGGAAGGCUUUAUUUGAUUUUGGCCGGGGAGUUGUGGAGGAUAUUGGUAGGACCGGAGGGCCCUCGACUCACAGGAGAACUGAUGUUGUCAAUGGUUACAACAGAUACGAAUAUGGGGAUCAGAACCUUAUCUUAAUUGCAAAUGAACUCAAAGGUGUACCGUGUCCAACUGCAACAAACAAUUUAACAAAGUUGGGGAUUGCUGAACUAUGGGUAGGGAAUCAAGAACAACAAAUACUGAUGAAACCUUUAGGUGCAAGGUUUAUGCACCCUAAAGUACUGGACAGAUCAACCUUGGCGGACAUUUUUUCAAAUGGCUCGAUGCAAACAUUAUUGAAGCUGCAGAACUUCUCUCUUCAGUUACUUGCUAGUCAUAUGAAACUGGUCUUUCAUGAAAAGUGGGUGAGUCAUGUGAUGGCCCCAAAUAUUGCUCCUUGGUUUUCAUGGGAGAAUACAUCAAGUUCAGGAGGUGAAGAGGGUCCUUCAUCUGAAUGGAUAAGGCUCUUUUGGAAAAAUUUUACAGGCUCUUUGGAUGACCUCCAACUUUUUUCAGACUGGCCCAUAAUUCCUGCUUUCCUUGGUAGACCAAUCCUCUGCCGUGUUAGGGAGCGUAAUUUGGUAUUUGUUCCACCUGCCCUUACCAAUUUUGGCCCUGUAGAAGGUCCCUUGGAGACAAAUGCUACAGAAAAUAGUGUUGCUUCUGACACUGAAUCAGUUCAAUCUUAUAUUUCUGCUUUUGAAGUGGCCAAAAACAGAUACCCUUGGCUGUUACCAUUGCUGAAUCAAUGCAACAUCCCAAUUUUUGAUGUAGCAUUCCUGGACUGUGCUGCUCCCUGCAAUUGUUUACCAACUUCCAGUCAAUCAUUGGGUCAAGUUAUUGCUUCAAAGCUGGUUGCAGCCAAAGAUGCUGGUUAUUUUACUGAAUUAUCUUCGUUUGCAUCUUCAAGUAGAGAUGAACUUCUUGCACUUUUUGCCAAUGAUUACUGGUCUAAUGGUUCUAAUUACAGAAGGGAGGAACUUGAGGUUUUGCGUUCUCUAUCUAUAUAUAAAACAGUUGUGGGGUCAUACACAAGUUUGCAAGGAAAUGAUCACUGUAUUGUCUCUUCAAAUUCUUUUCUCAAACCAUAUGAUGAGCAAUGCCUUUCUUAUUCCAGAGACUCAAUUGAAUUUUCACUACUUCAAGCACUUGGAGUUUCUGAAUUGCAUGAUCAACAGAUUUUACUUCGAUUUGGGUUGCCUGGGUUCGAAAACAAACCUGAGUCUGAACGGGAAGACAUACUAAUAUAUCUGUUUACAAAUUGGCAUGAGAUUCAACAAGAUUCUUCUUUAGUUGAAGCUUUAAAAGAAACUAAAUUUGUAAGAAGUGCUGAUGAAUUUUGCAUGGAUCUAUCUAAGCCUAAAGAAUUGUUUGAUCUUGGUGAUUCUUUAUUAACAUCUGUUUUCUCUGGUGAGAGAAAAAGGUUUCCCGGAGAAAGAUUUAGCACAGAUGGUUGGCUCCAUAUUUUAAGAAAGGUUGGGCUCCGAACUACUGCAGAUGCAGAUGUUAUACUGGAAUGUGCGAAAAGAAUGGAGUUCCUUGGAAGUGAAUGCAUGAAAUCUGAUGAUUUAGAUGAUUUUGACAACUCAUCUGGCUCACAGGCUGAAGUUUCAGUGGAAAUAUGGACAUUAGCCGGUUCAGUCAUUGAAACAAUUUUAUCAAAUUUUGCUGUUCUAUAUGGCAAUAAUUUCUGUAAUCAUCUUGGCAAGAUUGCGUGUGUACCUGCUGAAUUUGGCUUUCCAGAUGUCGGUGGCAGGAAGGGUGGCAAGAGAGUGCUCACUUCAUAUAGUGAAGCUAUUUUGUCAAAGGAUUGGCCCCUGGCUUGGAGUUGUGCUCCUAUUCUUUCGAAGAAAACGUUGGUACCUCCUCAGUACUCUUGGGGCUCACUCCAGCUGAGAAGCCCUCCAGCUUUUUCAACAGUUUUAAAGCACUUGCAGGUUAUCGGAAAGAAUGGUGGGGAAGACACACUUGCUCACUGGCCAACUGCAUCAGGCAUGAUGACCAUUGAUGAAGCUUCUUGUGAAGUUCUGAAGUAUCUGGAUCAGAUUUGGGGUUCUCUCUCUUCUUCUGAUAUAAAAGAAUUGGAGAAAGUGCCUUUUAUACCUGCUGCAAAUGGGACACGCUUGGUGAUAGCAAAUCUACUAUUUGCACGUCUGUCAAUUAACUUGUCUCCUUUUGCUUUUGAACUUCCUACCCCUUAUCUUCCUUUCGUAAAGGUUCUCAAAGAUUUGGGACUACAAGAUACAUUAUCAGUUGCAUCUGCCAAGGAUCUUCUUUUGAAUCUUCAGAAUGCUUGUGGUUAUCAGAGGUUAAACCCAAAUGAGCUUCGUGCGGUGUUUGAAAUUUUAUAUUUUAUCUGUGAUGGGGCUGAUGGGUCCCAUUGGACGUCAGAAGCAAUAGUUCCAGAUGAUGGCUGCAGACUCGUUCAUGCGAAAUCUUGUGUAUAUAUUGACUCCUAUGGCUCCCGAUUUGUCAAAAGCAUUGAAACUUCAAGGAUCAGAUUUAUUCACCCCGAUCUUCCAGAGAGAUUAUGUUUAGUUCUGGGGAUUAAAAAGUUGUCUGAUGUAGUAACAGAGGAAUUAGUUCAUGAGGAGCAUUUACAAACACUUGAAUGUAUUGGCUCAGUUACGCUCUUAGCCAUCAGAGAAAAACUAUUAAACAGAUCAUUUCAGGGUGCUCUUUGGACUGUUGUAAACAGCAUGGCGAGCUACAUUCCUGCACUAAAUAAUGUAGUUUUGGAGACCAUACAAAAUUCUUUAGAAUCUGUUGCUGGAAAAUUGCAGUUUGUUAAGUGCCUUCAUACUCGUUUCUUGCUUCUUCCGAAUUCUAUAGAAAUUACUCGUGCAGCCAAUGCUUCUAUUAUCCCGGAGUGGACUGCUGGAACCCAUGAUCAAAGACUUUAUUUUGUUGACCGAUCUAAAUCUCGUAUUGUUGUUGCUGAACCUCCAGCAUUCCUUUCAGUUUUUGAUGUGAUUGCAAUUGUUGUUAGCCAGGUUUUAGGUUCCCCUACCCCAUUACCCAUUGGACCUUUAUUUGUCUGUCCUGGAGGCUCUGAAACGGCAAUUGUUGAUAUUUUGAAACUUCGUUCUGACAAAAAUGAAAUGGAAGCUUCAGGUGGAAGAAAUAGUUUGAUAGGGAAAGAUUUACUGCCCCAAGAUACUCUUCAAGUGCAAUUUCACCCAUUAAGACCAUUUUAUGCUGGAGAAAUAGUGGCAUGGCGAUCUCAAAAUGGAGAAAAACUCAAGUAUGGUAGGGUCCCUGAGGAUGUUAGACCAUCAGCAGGACAAGCACUAUACAGAUUCAAGGUGGAAACCUCACCUGGCGAAACACAGCCACUUCUCUCUUCACAAGUUAUGUCAUUCAGAAGCACAUCAAUGGGAAGUGAGACCACAGUAAUGUUGCCAGACGAGAGUCAUAGAGCUCAUGGCGUAGGUCAUAGCGAAGUUCCAGAAAGCUCUGGAAGAGUCCAAGCAAGAUCUUCCCAGCAGCGUCAACUCGGGAAUGAGCUCCAGUACGGUCGAGUGUCAGCAGCCGAACUGGUGCAAGCAGUAGAUGAGAUGCUUUCUGCAGUUGGGAUCCAUAUGGAUGCAGAGAAGCAAUCACUUCUGCAAAAAACAAUAACACUUCAAGAACAACUAAAAGAUUCAGAGACAGCACUUUUGCUUGAGCAGGAAAAGGCUGAUGUAGCAGCAAAGGAAGCGGAUACAGCAAAGGCAGCGUGGGUAUGUCGAGUGUGCUUGACGGCGGAAGUUGAUAUGACAAUGGUGCCUUGUGGGCAUGUCCUUUGUAGGAGAUGCUCUUCAGCUGUUUCUAGGUGUCCAUUCUGUCGGCUACAGGUCUCAAGAACUAUGAGGAUUUAUAGGCCAUGAAAAAUCCAAUUCAAACUACUUGCUCUUUCACUUUUGAUUCAAAGUGGCAACAAAGUGAGUCCUCCAAGUCCAAUCGAGUUGAAGAAGUUGAUGGCAAAGCGUGUAUCUUUUUCAUUAUCCUUUGGAAAUAUAGAUUCAAAUGAAUCAUACAUUCUGGGAUUCGAAAGUCGUUCAUUCAGUAUUCGAAUGCCAAGUUGCUCCGAUAAUUCCUGCAAAGAAAUAUUUAUCAGCAAAAAUUAUGGUGAAAUAAUUUUAAUAAUAGCUCAAAAUUGGCUAUAAAAUUAUAUACUAUAUGUUACCCUAAAAUGAUUAUGAUACUAAUUUCAAACACACCUUUGAUUGACUAGAA